ACUCCUACGGGAGGCAGCAGUGGGGAAUAUUGCACAAUGGGCGCAAGCCUGAUGCAGCCAUGCCGCGUGUAUGAAGAAGGCCUUCGGGUUGUAAAGUACUUUCAGCAGUGAGGAAGGUGGGUAUGUUAAUAGCAUACUCAUUUGACGUUAGCUGCAGAAGAAGCACCGGCUAACUCCGUGCCAGCAGCCGCGGUAAUACGGAGGGUGCGAGCGUUAAUCGGAAUUACUGGGCGUAAAGCGCAUGCAGGUGGUUUGUUAAGUCAGAUGUGAAAGCCCGGGGGCUCAACCUCGGAAUUGCAUUUGAAACUGGCAAACUAGAGUACUGUAGAGGGGGGUAGAAUUUCAGGUGUAGCGGUGAAAUGCGUAGAGAUCUGAAGGAAUACCGGUGGCGAAGGCGGCCCCCUGGACAGAUACUGACACUCAGAUGCGAAAGCGUGGGGAGCAAACAGGAUUAGAUACCCCUGGUAGGCGUAG
rnacentral:rRNA from 1 species